rnacentral:rRNA from 1 species
GGAAUAUUGGACAAUGGGGGCAACCCUGAUCCAGCAAUGCCGCGUGUGUGAAGAAGGCCUUCGGGUUGUAAAGCACUUUUGGCGGGGAGGAAGGUGUAGAGUUUAAGAGACACUACAUUUGACUGUACCUGCAGAAUAAGCACCGGCUAACUCUGUGCCAGCAGCCGCGGUAAUACAGAGGGUGCAAGCGUUAAUCGGAGUUACUGGGCGUAAAGGGCGCGUAGGCGGCUAUGUAAGUCCGUUGUGAAAGCCCCGGGCUCAACUCGGGAACUGCGGCGGAUACUGCAUUGGCUAGAGGAUGGUAGAGGCUAGUGGAACUAGCGGUGUAGCGGUGAAAUGCGCAGAUAUCGCUAGGAACGCCGGUGGCGAAGGCGACUGGCUGGGCCACUCCUGACGCUGAGGCGCGAAAGCCAGGGGAGCGAAC